rnacentral:rRNA from 1 species
GCACAAGCGGCGGAGCAUGCGGAUUAAUCGAUGCAACGCGAAGAACCUUACCAAGGCUUGACAUACACCGGUAACGCCCAGAGAUGGGUGCCCCCUUCGUGGUCGGUGGACAGGUGGUGCAUGGUUGUCGUCAGCUCGUGUCGUGAGAUGUUGGGUUAAGUCCCGCAACGAGCGCAACCCUCGUCCUAUGUUGCCAGCGGGUCAUGCCGGGGACUCAUGGGAGACUGCCGGGGUCAACUCGGAGGAAGGUGGGAUGACGUCAAAUCAUCAUGCCCCUUAUGUCUUGGGCUUCACGCAUGCUACAAUGGCCGGUACAAAGGGCUGCGAUACCGCGAGGUGGAGCGAAUCCCAGAAAGCCGGUCUCAGUUCGGAUUGGGGUCUGCAACUCGACCCCAUGAAGUCGGAGUCGCUAGUAAUCGCAGAUCAGCAUGCUGCGGUGAAUACGUUCCCGGGCCUU